rnacentral:rRNA from 1 species
GACGAACGCUGGCGGCGUGCUUAACACAUGCAAGUCGAACGGAAAGGCCCUGCUUUUGUGGGGUGCUCGAGUGGCGAACGGGUGAGUAACACGUGAGUAACCUGCCCUUGACUUUGGGAUAACACCAGGAAACUGGGGCUAAUACCGGAUAUGAGCUCUUGCUGCAUGGGGGGGGUUGGAAAGUUUCGGCGGUUGGGGAUGGACUCGCGGCUUAUCAGCUUGUUGGUGGGGUAGUGGCUUACCAAGGCUUUGACGGGUAGCCGGCCUGAGAGGGUGACCGGCCACAUUGGGACUGAGAUACGGCCCAGACUCCUACGGGAGGCAGCAGUGGGGAAUAUUGCACAAUGGGCGGAAGCCUGAUGCAGCGACGCCGCGUGCGGGAUGACGGCCUUCGGGUUGUAAACCGCUUUCGCCUGGGACGAAGCGUGAGUGACGGUACCGGGUAAAGAAGCACCGGCUAACUACGUG